rnacentral:rRNA from 1 species
UUUGUUUUUUCAUUUUCCCUAAGGGAGGAAAAGAAACCAACAGGGAUUGCCCCAGUAACGGCGAGUGAAGCGGCAAAAGCUCAAUUUUGAAAUCCCCCCGGGGAGUUGUAAUUUGAAGACUAGGGGAUUUGGCCCAAACCUGCGCAAGUCCAUUGGAACAUGGCGCCCAAGAGGGUGAGAGCCCCGUCGCGCAGGCCGCAGCCUUGACAUCCCCCCGUCAAAGAGUCGAGUUGUUUGGGAAUGCAGCUCAAAGUGGGUGGUAAAUUCCAUCUAAAGCUAAAUAUUGGCGAGAGACCGAUAGCGAACAAGUACAGUGAUGGAAAGAUGAAAAGCACUUUGAAAAGAGAGUGAAACAGUACGUGAAAUUGUUGAAAGGGAAGGGCUUGCAAGCAGACACGAGUUCGCUCGGGCCAGCAUCAAUUUCGCGAGGUGGACAACACGCCAGAAUGUGGCAGGCUCUCGGCCUGUGUUAUAGCCUGCGCGCCAUACACAUCCGCGAGAUUGACGCCUCUCCAAUUUGUAGCUGCGUAAUACGGGUGAAGGGU